GACGUCGAUAUUCGACGUCAUAAACACGAGCAACUUUGGUGUUUAUGACGUCGAUAUUCGACGUCAUAAACACGAGCAACUUUGGUGUUUAUGACGUCGAUAUUCGACGUG
rnacentral:miRNA from 1 species